rnacentral:tRNA from 1 species
UCCUUGGUAGACAUGGAAACGGCGACAGACUUAAAAUCUGCCGGCCGCAAGGCCUUGCCGGUUCGAUUCCGGCUCGGGGCACCA